rnacentral:rRNA from 1 species
AAAUUACAUUCUCUGCGGGCGCUGAUUCAGAUAUAUUACUAUGGGCAAAGGAAGUUCAAAAUUUAUCUCAGUCAAACAUGUGCAAAGGAAAUUCAAAAUAUGUUAUAUUAGGGAAGAUUCUUAAAUCAGUGAAGUAUCUAGAGGGCUGAUUAGGACACUCCUCAUAAUGUUUGAUACUUUACCAUUUGGGAUUAGGCCAUUGGUGAACAUGACAAUGCGGCUGUUGGUCCCGGAUGCCGGGGGCGUGGGCAGGGUUGAGGAGCUCACACGGUGCUAUACAUGACAACCUGCGAGUGGUGGCUGGAGGUGGCGUGCCUGCUGCUUGGUUGGAAGUCCGACAUAAAGUCCCACGACCGAC